rnacentral:rRNA from 1 species
UGGGGAAUAUUGGACAAUGGGCGAAAGCCUGAUCCAGCCACGCCGCGUGUGUGAUGAAGGCCUUCGGGUCGUAAAGCACUGUGGAGAGGGAAGAAGUCAGUGACGGUACCUCUUUAGCAAGCACCGGCUAACUCCGUGCCAGCAGCCGCGGUAAUACGGAGGGUGCUAACGUUGCUCGGAAUCAUUGGGCGUAAAGCGCACGUAGGCGGCCCAGUGUGUCGGAUGUGAAAGCCCUCGGCUUAACCGAGGAAGUGCAUUCGAAACUACUGGGCUUGAGUACGGGAGAGGGUAGCGGAAUUCCCGGUGUAGAGGUGAAAUUCGUAGAUAUCGGGAGGAACACCAGUGGCGAAGGCGGCUACCUGGACCGAUACUGACGCUCAGGUGCGAAAGCGUGGGGAGCAAACAGG